rnacentral:rRNA from 1 species
AGCUCCCCGAGUGGUGAGGACGAUUAUUGGGCCUAAAGCGUCCGUAGCCGGCUUGGCAAGUUUCCCGUCAAAUCCGACGACAUAAUCGCCGGACCGCGGGAAAUACUACCACGCUAGGAGGCGGGAGAGGCCGGCGGUACUUACGGGGUAGGGGUGAAAUCCAUUAAUCCCGUGAGGACCACCAGUGGCGAAGGCGACCGGCCAGAACGCGCUCGACGGUGAGGGGCGAAAGCUGGGGGAGCGAACCGGAUUAGAUACCCGAGUAGUCC